UGCGUUUUCAGUCUGUCGAUGUGAGAUGGGUUGCAACCAACGACCGGUGUCGGUCUAUGCUGCUGCACAUGCGCUGAACGGGCGCCACGGAAAACACAUUGAGGGAUUACUAAAGACAUGGCGGCCAACAUCGAGCAAAUUUUUCGCGAUUUCGUAGUAAAUAAAAUAAAAGAAAUUGAAGAUGAGAGUCAAGAUAUCAUUCUGACAGAUGAAGGCCAUCCCAAUGGUAAAACUGCAGAAGGAGCAGAUGGGAUCAACAACACACAAGAUAAAGAUGGUGUAGCCAAUAAGGAAGAGGGUGCUGUCCCACAAAAUAAACAUAAGAAGCACAAGAAGCACAAGAAACACAAAAGCAAAAAGAAGAAACGUAAGGAAGAGAAAGAGAGCGGCUCAGAAUCAGCAGCAGACUCUGAUGGAGACAAGGCAAAGACUGGGGAAGAGGAUGACGGGAGAUCCAAGCGGCAUAAACGACAUUCUGGGAAGAAGAAGAAAAAAAAGCAGAAGAAAGAUGGUGACAAGUCCAACAGCUCAUCUGGGUCGGAGUCCGAGUCGAAGCCUCAGCCUGGGAACAAGGAGAGCAAACCUCAGGAUCUGCCUGAUAUCAUCCCUAAACUAGAGGAGAAGUGUCCGGAAAAGUCCUCCUCCAGAUGCUCACGGUCUCGUUCAGGCAAGCGCAGGUCCAGAUCCAGGGACAGGAGAGGGAGAUCCAGAUCGAGGUCCGGUAGAAGACGUGGCGGACACACACGUUCCAGAUCACGGCACCGGAGGUCCGGGUCACAUUCUAGAAGGUCUGGGUCUGCCAGGAGAGGCAGGAGAACCCGGUCAAGGUCCCUCGUGAUCUUGAAGAAAGACAGACGGUCUAGAUCGAGAUCCAGAAGGCGAUCGAAAUCUAAGACGAGAUCUCAGUCGAGACACCGAGAGAUGAGUUCAGGAUCUCCCUCUCCUUCCAGAAACGACAAAUCCAAAUCCAGGUCUGCCUCAAGAGACAGCCAAUCGGCCGAGAAGGAUCCCUCUGCUGACCUGGCUGAAGAUGAGUCUGCUGUGAAAGACGAAAACUUAAUGGUUCCUAUCGAUCCGCCAGCCCUAGCUUCCGGAAGCAGCAUUGAGGGUGUCGUCAAUAUGGCCACCCCCACUGGAGGAGGGUGGAAGCCAAUACCCUUCUUAGGCGACAGCAGUAAGGGAGAGCCAGCCGUUUCCUCCCAGCCCUCUGAAUGUCUGACGUCUCCACAGAAGUGCCCUAUUCCUCCUGAGGUGCCUUCAGGUGAGCAGCAUGAGGCCUCCACUGACCACCAGUCAACGUCAGCCUCUGAUCCUAACCACAGCUGCCAGCCAACUGGUGAGCCAGGGGAAUCGGAUGGACCUGUUACUUCAGAAACCUUGGAUGGCUCUGUAGAUUCCUUACCCCCCAAAACAGAUGCUAGUGGAGGAGACAAGGUGACACCUCAGGGUGAAGAGCUGCCUGCCUCACCUCAACCUAAACCACAGCCAACAUCUGGAGAGGCAGAGACGACAGAGAAGGAAGGAGAAUCUUCAAAGUCCAGGUCUCCUUCAAAGAGGAAAAAGUCGAGGUCAAAGUCUCCUGAUCAGAAGAAACGCUCUGAUGCAAAGUCCUCCAAGAAGAGGAGGUCCAGAUCCAAGUCUCCGGGGAGGAAAAGGAAAUCGAGGUCCUCGUCGCCAAGCCGCAAGAGGAAGUCCAGGACGCCGUCUCGGAGGAAGAAGUCUCGCUCAAAGUCCGGGACGAGAAAGAAGAAAUCACGGUCCAAGUCCAGAACGCGGAACAAGCGCUCGAAGUCUAGGUCACCGAAAAGGAAACGAUCCAAGUCACGGUCUCCUGCUCGGAGGUCAAAGAGGUCAAGGUCACGCUCCGGUUCGCGGCGGAGGGGUAGGGGUGCAUUCGGCAGCCACCAGCUUAGCCAGAGGGACCGUUGGAAGCGUGAGCCAAGCCACUCCCCAGUCCUUAUCCUCCGCAAGAAGAGGUCUCCGGCACGCAACAACCGCGACACCAGCAAAAGCCCGCCACGACUCACAGAGCUGGAUAAAGACCAGUUACUGGAGAUUGCUAAGGCUAAUGCAGCCGCCAUGUGUGCCAAGGCCGGGAUACCCAUCCCAGAGAGCCUGCGACCCAAAGCUGUCCUCCAGCUGCCUUUACCCAGCCCCAACAACCCCAUGUCCUUCUCCAUGCCCAUGAAUAUGAACAUGCCCAUGAACAUGUCUAUGAACAUGCCUAUGAGCAUGACCAUGAAUGCAGCUAUGGCUAGCAUGACAGCUGCCACAAUGACUGCUGCCCUGGCCAGUAUGGGAUCUAUGGCCUCCAUGCACCAGAUGGCCCCGCUCCCCAGCAUCACCAACAAGCCCCCGCCAGGUCCCCCCCAGCCCAACAUGGCCACCAUCGAGGAUGUGAAGAGGAAGGUGGCCAAGCAGGCAAACAGCAUCAGCAUCAAGGAGUUCACUGACAAGUGUAAGAAGAUUGUGGAGAAGGGAGGGGAGCUGGCCCUCGCUGAACCCCGUAUAUCUGACGACGAGGACGACGGCAAACCGUUUGGACGAGCCGCCCUGAGGGAGGUCAAGGGCAUCUCCUUCAGCCUCAAUAACGCAUCCGUGCGUCCAUCUCCGGCGUUGGCGGUUCGGAGCGAGGCGGCGUUCGCCAAGGAGUUCCCCGUGUCGUCGGGCUCCCAGCACAGGAAGAAGGAGGGCGACGGGGGAGGGGCUUACGGAGAGUGGGUGACCGUCGACAAGAAGGCGGAAAAGGCCAAGGUGGCGGCGACCAAGGCAUUGGCAACGGCUGCCAAGGAAACUUCGCCUGGGGAUGCGCCUUUGUCUACGGUGUCCGUGGCAACGGAGGAGCCAGCGGUCGUCAAGGAGAGUGAUAGUGUGUUCCCGGAGCCGCCGCUACAGCCUGUAGACAUCACCCAGGCAGUUGGUGAGAGGAUGAAGGCCCAGAAGCGUCUGGCCGAGAACCCGUACGACGUCAGCGCCAUCUGCAUGCUCAGCCGUGCUCAGGAACAGGUGGAUGCAUGGGCCCAGUCCAACACCAUCCCUGGUCUGUUUACAGGUUCUACUGGAGCAACGGUGCUCAGCUCAGAGGAGCUGUCCAACAGCGGACCACAGGCCUGGAUUAAAAAGGUACCGUCCACUGUCUUACCCGCUCUCCACCCCAAACAUACCACCCCACUACCCUACAGGUGUCUGCAUCGCCCAUGCCCACUGGUGUACCCACUUCACACGCCUUCCACAGCCUGCUCCCUAAUCACCACCCAGCCCUAGUCAAAUAACUGAAUGGCUGUACGCAUAGAGCCAGACAUAUACUGUAUUUAGUUUGACAAGUGUUCUGUUGAUGAAGAACACACUGGGUUAGAAUGGAGUAGUUCCACUGUUACUCAGUGAAAUCCAGGUCAGAUGUAACGUCCCCGAAACGUGGGGUCCACUGCUACCAUGGCAACCCUUGUUAGCUCUAACGCACAUAGUUUACUGAUGUGUGUGUGAGUGAGCAUCUGUUGUCUGUAUUGUGUGUUUCUGUCUGCGUCAGAAAAAGAUGCUCUGGCUGUAAAGGAAGCCUCUUGUUUAUGUUGCCUCAGCCUGAUAUUUGCACUGCAGUCUGUAACAGUGGUAACAUGAUGAACCCAGACUUGAAUCUUUAAUCUGACAUACAGAGAUGAACAAACAUCUCCCUGCACUUCAAUCACCCCCCACCCCUCCCCCGCAACACACACACACACAUUCUGACUAAUUACAUUUCCUGUGAAGUGGGUACACCAUGUUAAGGGUAGUGAUGCAGAUUCCUUACAUGUGACAUUCUUACCAAAGCAGGUGCAAAUGCAGUACUGACACCCGGCUACUAGUGGUGCUCUGGUCUGACACCCGUCUACUAGUGGUGCUCUGGUCUGUGCACUAAAUAGAGUCCCCCUCGGAGUCGGAAUAGGGACUUGGAGAAUGAAAGAGGGAGGGAGGGGAGGAAGAGGAGAGCUGGAAGUAAGUCUGCAGACCCCAGAACCCCCGCUUGUCCUCUAGCACCCCAGGGCAAGGCAGAGAUUAUGGGUCCGUCUCAGUAGUCUAAAGAUGCUUCCUCGUCUCUUUCCUUGGAUUCACACUGAUCUCAGAACAGGGGAAAGGGAAAAGCACUUCUUUUACUUAUCCUGCCUUUUCAGAUCAGGUCAGAUAUGGUUGGGGACGUUAGGUGAGGAAGUGACUUUAGACUAUUCAGAUGCACCCUAAGACAGUUUACUUUAGUCUCUACCGUCACGCUGUCUCCCUAAAGCGGUGUCUCCCUAUCACUCCCCCACACCCAGUCACACAGAAUGUCAUCAGGCCCAGAGAUAACCAUAGUCCUCUGUCUGUGGACCCCGUCUGAACCCUCCUACCCUGUAGUGUUUCUAUAGUGGGCUGUUUGAAGCCAGUGGGUGUAACUGUACCCUAAACCUUCCUGAGCUCUGUAAACACACAGAGACGGGGCUACUGUUUUAAACGACACAUCCUGAGGAAUCUCUCUUUCUCUGGUUAAGUAACACAUUGUCACAUUUAGCUAUAGAGAGAGUGAUGGAUCAGCUGAGUUCAUUCUUCAUUUAAUACGACACGUCCUUCAGAUGCUAUGGGCAGAUGUCAUGGACAUGUUCAGAGACGUGAUAUAGGGAUGAGAGUGCAUUGAUCAUACUAAUGUUAGUGAUGCAUUUUGCUAGCAUUACAGCAGCUAACAUUGAUUUACAGCAGCUAACAUUGAUUUACAGCACGCUAGCAUUGCAGCAGCUAACAUUGAUUUACAGCACGCUAGCAUUGCAGCAGCUAACAUUGAUUUACAGCAGCUAACAUUGAUUUACAGCACGCUAGCAUUGCAGCAGCUAACAUUGAUUUACAGCACGCUAGCAUUGCAGCAGCUAACAUUGAUUUACAGCAGCUAACAUUGAUUUACAGCACGCUAGCAUUGCAGCAGCUAACAUUGAUUUACAGCACGCUAGCAUUACCAGCAUAUGGACUGUGUUGUUUGUGUGGUUGUUGGGUGCCCCCAGCAACCAGUCAUUCCGUGCAUUCCGUUUCCCAGUAGAUGAGCGGGGUCUAGUUUUAGACCAGUCAGUGGUCUCCAACCCUAGUCUAGGCUGUGCAGGAUUUUGUUCCAUCCCAGCAUAGUUGUAUAGGUUAGGGCUGUAACAAAAACAUGCACAUUAGCUUCAGGACCACUGCCUGAGGGAGAACUCUGUUCUGAGGGACCUAGGCUAGUUACAGGUGUCCAUGGACAUGCCUGUGCUCUUUCCCUUGCCCUGGGGGAGGCUGCAGUCAGAAGUUGCUCCUAGUCACAGAUCUAGGAUCAGCUUCCCUUUCGCAAAUCCUAACUCCAAGCUGACCACGUGUCUAGGGGCAACUUCCUCCCAGUCCUUGGGGCAGCCCGAGGAAGGGGGUCGAUAAGAGGGGUCUGGAUUGGAGCAGAGGGAGAGAGGUGUGGGUUCACAGGGGUGACCUGUGAACUUUCACCUCUGUGUAUUGGACACUUGUUUCAGGGUCAGUCCUUGUAGCUGUCCUUGUUGCCAUGGCCACAGUCAGGCCCCCCUCAUUUCCUGUCUGAUGCUGGGCCGGUGAUGAGGGGCUAGGACCAGUUCUUGCGAGCAGCCCCGGUGUCGGGAGGAGUAGGGGAGUUUCUCAUGAGGAA